rnacentral:rRNA from 1 species
AACGUAGGACACGAGCGUUAUCCGGAGUUACUGGGCGUAAAGGGCGAGUAGGUGGUGCGAUAAGACUGGUGUGAAAGCCUUCGGCUUAACCGAGGGAGGACACUGGUGACUGUCGGACUUGAGGCAGAUAGAGGGGUGUAGAAUUCCGGGUGUAGUGGUGAAAUGCGUAGAGAUCCGGAGGAACACCGGUGGCGAAGGCGGCGUUCUGGACUGCAACUGACACUGAUAAACGAAAGCCAGGGUAGCAAACGGG